rnacentral:rRNA from 2 species
GACUCUCGGCAACGGAUAUCUCGGCUCUCGCAUCGAUGAAGAACGUAGCGAAAUGCGAUACCUGGUGUGAAUUGCAGAAUCCCGCGAACCAUCGAGUCUUUGAACGCAAGUUGCGCCCGAAGCCUUCUGGCCGAGGGCACGCCUGCCUGGGCGUCACGCA